rnacentral:lncRNA from 1 species
AGUUAGGAUCAGUCUAACACAAGUCAAAAUAUUUUAGACAAAAUUUAGAAACCAAAAAAAAAAAGGAUCUUAAGAAGAAAGUAAAAUUAAAGCCUCAAAACAUGUCAAGUUAAGGUACCUGAAGAGUACCUACAGAGUGUCAAUAACUGUACACUAUAAAGAUCUAACAGCCAGCGUAAUAAGCAUAAAGAGCAAUUCUCACAACUUGGAAAAGCAUCACUAAAUGUAAAUGUACAAAGACUGGGAGCAGAUAACUGAAGUUUGGAAUUGAGUAUGGAACUAUCAUGCAUGGUUAAAUUGAUAAGCAUCACAUUUGGUAUGCUAAGGACUCGUGUUCACCAUUCAUUACGAUUGCGAAGGAUCAAACUAGUUAAACUUUUAAAUCCCAAAAAGGGAUUAAUCGGGCCAUCGUCACUAGCCAAAAAGGAAAAAUAUUCUAGGUGCAAGUUCGUUAAUGUUGGCAAAUCCAAAUAUUUUGGAAAUAAUGUUCUCCCAUUAUUAUGAUGGCCUUUAGUGGCAACAAAUAGGUUCAGUGAUGGUAGAGUGAUGAAGAAAUGCAAGGCAAGAUGUCACACAUUUGACAUCAAUUCCUAAAUGACGGAGCUUGACAUUACGGGAUAAAACAUAGUUUGCAAC